rnacentral:lncRNA from 1 species
AUGAAAUUAUUUGUAGACUUAACCAAAUUUGCCUAUUUUCUUUGUCAAAUGCAUCACAAAUUAUAUGCACUUAAUAAAUAGACCAAAGUAAGUUCCACCAAACUCUAAAUCUUUCCAUGGAUUUGAAAAAGUAAAGUAAUGCCCAUUGUGGAGGCAAAGGUAAAGUAAAGUAAGGCCUCAAUCCAAGCCAAACAAUCAUGCAUUCACAAUCCUCACACUAAUCUCAACCAUGGCUAUAAAGACACAACGAGCAUGUGCAUACGGAAAACUACAAUAUUGUGCAUUUGAUUCGAAACCAAAUAAGCCUCUACAUGUACUUGUAACUUGCAAAUGGAGAUUGAAAAGCCUUUGGCAAUCUCUCUAUCUUUGUCAUUGAGCAACUUAGAUAAUGUGGUUACCAUUAGAACUAGCUCAAUAUUGAACUGAUAUGGUAACCACAUUAUUGAGCUGGACCACAAAACCCCAGCACUCAAUGGUUCGUCAAACGGAUGCUACAAAUUAUAUUCUAAUACAUUGGCACAAAAAUUUGCAUUGAACAUCAAUUGUGACUAAUAAAUUUGUGAAAUGCAGCAACAUUGAUCAAUCUUCUAAUCCACGUUUACCUACUGAACUUGAGAGUUGAAGAUAUUGUACAAAAUAAUUGAGAGCACUACUACACUUAUAAACUUGAAAGCAUAGGACUCAAUCAGAUGCACCAAGGGAUACUCUAAAAGUAAUCAAGACACAAGUUCAUCUAGUACAUGAACGACAAUAAUGGUCCAAAAUGUUGGUAAGCAAUUAUAGACUCAGGUUUACUUGGAUCAAGAAGCACUCAGAUGGACCUUGACGUUAGAGUCUGCACUCAAAGAGAUCCACCAAAAAUCUUCAGAUUUAGCCUAUUCAGAAACAGAGAUUCAAGAUCCUUAAUUAUUAAGCUCAAAUUGUUGCCAACACACAUCACAUAAAUAAUUCUAAAGAAAAUUGAAGACUCACUGAAAUCAUAGUAAGAAAUCUGCGAAAAACUGCAACAAUCCAACCUUUGUCAUAGCCCCACAAUACAUUUGAAAGCUAGUAUAACCAGAUUGGCUCCCCUCUAAUAUCCAUGUACUAGUCAAACACCAUUGAAGGCAAGUUUGUAAAUAGCAAAAGAUCUCUGACUUGCUUCAAAAUCCAAGACAUAAGCUACUGAAGCUAAUAAAACUCUAACAUGCGUUACAAUGACCUCAUCAAAAAAAAAUUUGGGCUACAAAUCCCACAACAAUGAAAAUGCAGAGACUCAUUUCAACUCUGAUUAAGCAAAUGGCCCUAAAGACUUCAGAAAGUAUUUUACUUUGGAUUUAUAAGCAGUUAGCGACUAUUUGGCAAUGGCAGACAAAGUCCCUUGUGAAAAGUUUGGCAGCUUACAAUCUAACAAGCUGACUCAAGAUUGAGAAGCCUGGUGUUGAUUCCAGCGUUCCUUUUCAUCAAUUUCAGCACACCACAUGUACGAUAUUUUUUAGUCUUGUCGACAGGAGCCCAAUUCUUUACCACUGUAACAAACGUAAUCGAAUCUAAACAGCUGCAGUUUGCACCAGUAUUACUAGAGAACCAAAUGACUUCCCAACAUGUACACAUUUACAACACAAGCAUAAUCAAGACUUCUCAAUAUGAUUGUAAAAGACCCUGCAAAGAAAAUGCACACACAAGUCAGCUUCAUCGCUACAAAUCUUAAACAUGACAUGCGUAAGAAUUUUAAAAACAACUGAGUUGGUUAACCGUGCAUUUGCCCCCUUUGUCUGCAUUAUUCCUACAGACUUUCUCAAAGUGGCUAUCACAACCUAAUUCCAUAAGCCAGAACUUCAUGCUGCAUGCAUUGGUUGCAAGACUUCAAUGUAUAUGAACACUUGCUGUCAAGCAACAUCAAUCUACAUGAUUUCAUAGAUUCCCAGAAAAAUCCCACAACAUUGAAUAAUAAAAGGAUUUCACAUUUAGCACAUCCAUAAUUUGACGACUGACUUGCAAGAGGCUUACAUCGACAGCCCACAGGCCUGUAACUCAGAGCAGUAAAAACACAACUUGCCGAUUUUCAUUAUCAGCGACAACGAUGCAGGAGUAUGCUAAUAUAGUUCUAUAUCUGAUACGAAGUGCUCAUUAGAAAUGCUCUUUUCAGAAAGAAACACAUCACUAUGUUAUAUUACUUCAAAGGGACCAGCGACCCAAGAUACACACGAAAUAAUACCCCGUCAUCCUACCAACGGAAGCUGCCAACCUUUCCAUAAGUGAAAGAGAUCGACCGCUGUAAGAUAGUCAUGGUAUUCAAAUGGACGAGCCCAGUUUCACGAAUGUGUAUGAACUGACUUGACUAGCAUAAUGAUACAAGACAGUAUCAUUAGAACCAAUAUUUAGGUUUACUCCAUUGAUGAUGCAUUCAUUGGAUAGAAGUAAAAGGAGUUGGAGAGACCAAAAUCAGCAUAGACCAUCCUACGCUCAAACAACUCAAAAACAGGCAGGUCAAAUUCCUUCUGAACAGUUUGCAGAAUAUAGUUUGUAGUCAAAACAGGGGUACAGACUGUCUGGUCGUAUAUCUAGGAGAAGCAGCAGGUCUUCCUACCUAGGAAACCACCCAACAGGACCUGAAAGACGUCUUCUGCUCGAGGUCCUACCAGGCUGGCCCUUUCGUUGCCCCUCGAAAACAGGGAGCCGACGUCACAAAACUUAACGACCUUCUUGACAUGAGUUUAGAGCGUAACUUCAACAGCAGAAGAGUGGGGUUGAAACAGAACCUUCGAAAGCAACAACAGAUCUGUCUCGCACGACACAAGGCUCGAAUCGCAGUUCUGCAAGGCUUGGGGUUCGAGCAGCUCCUCAACAUAGAGAAUGAAGCUGGCUACCAGACCGAAUCUGCAGCGCCAUUGGACUGCAUUUACGUAGAGAAUGCGCGUGAGUGAAGCACCAAGAUGACGCGAGCUCAUCACCCAACCCCAACCCCCAACACAACACGAUCCAGCAGCAAAAGCAGGCAUAUGGAAGAAGCAUGCAAGUGUGGUGAGCCAAGGAUGCAAUAGAUGCUCAAAACUGGAGUUUACGAGGGAGGCUGGAAAGCUCCAAAGCCCAACAAUGUAAUAUUACAGUCAACAUCUCUAGAACCUGAAACUUAAUAAGGUUCACGCGACUCAUAC